UUUGUGGACCUGCAUGGCCUCAUAGACCCUCAAGUUGAAAACCGCUGACCUGGACUAAUUCACAUCUAUCCUGCAUGGUGAAUAUAUUGUAUGAAACUUCUGAAAAUAAUUUAUGUAAAGUCCUGCUUGGCUUCUGAACUACAACACUUGUGCCUCUACAGAAAAAUGAAGACAAGACACAGCAGGGGUCAGAAAUCUACUGUACAUAGGCAACAGCAGUGGUGAAAAUGUAACUACACUGACUUUGGAGUAGCAAUGAAAAAGUGAAUGUCUGAAAUCUCUAUUAGGACUGUGAUGCCCAUGGUGACCCUUGAAACUCCACAUCUUCACAGACACUGUGACCCAGAUGCACUUAAUGGGCUCCUGAUUCUUGGGUUUUGCUGUAGACCAGAUGGACGUUGUGGGCCGUGGCACUCUCCUCUCACUGUCUUCUGCCUCAGCUUUCUUGUUGACUUCCUUCAUAACAGAGCAGGCACACGGCAUAGUGAAAGUCCUCCU